UGCAUUCACUACUGUAAGUUGCUCUGGAUAAGAGCGUCUGCUAAAAGACCAAAA
rfam:Salmo salar isolate Sally breed double haploid chromosome ssa10, whole genome shotgun sequence.